GGGAUUAUAGCUUAGUGGUAGAGCACUUGCCUAGCAUGUGCAAGGCCCUAGGUUCAAUUCCUGGCAUCCUCC
rnacentral:tRNA from 1 species